rnacentral:misc_RNA from 1 species
UGGAUGGCGAUAGUUGGCAGGCUCCGUGCUCGUGCAUCGAACUGUCGACGCUCCAUCCGCUUCAGUGUUUCUCCAAGCGAAUCUCUUUCCUUGCGGGUGCAAACGGUAUCCUGUGUUGCUUACCAAUGAAAAGGAAUUUGAUGGUUUUUGUGUGUUGAUCGACCUUGCUCCCUUCGUGGUGCGGGGUGGACCUGAGGCGUGCUUCGUGUUCUCAGUGUGCCUUGCGCAUCGUCGCUUGGCCAUUGUGGCCCAUGGAGUAUCGGCUUGUUCUCUCGGAUGCGGAAUGUUAUGUGUGGGGGUGAGGUCUCGGCCUCAAUUCGCCCAAAGCACUGUCCCUUGACAUGAAUGACUGCCACGCCCGUCUUGAUCUUCCCGACCGAGGUCCCGUAUCUUGGACGAGGGUUGCUCAUGCGGGCGUUGGCGUCUAAAAGGAAAUGCUAC